rnacentral:misc_RNA from 1 species
UUUGGAUCACAGGAAAGCUUUCUUUCAUGGGGUGGGGGUAAAGCGAUAGACUAAGUGUGGUUUGGAUACCUUCAACCCUUGUCGAAGCAGAAAACAUCAUUUUGUGUACUACUAUUUUGGAUACUUCACGUGUUUGGUUGGGUUUUGAAAACCAAUUAUUUUGCUGGAUGACUUGAUCUGUAAUUCAUGAUGGCGAAGGUAAUGGUUCUUACCGCCAAAGGUGUAAUCAUGCUCUUGUCACGUUAAUGCUAGAUAAUAGAUUCAAAGUUAUGGGUCUAUUUCUGUUCUUAGACUUAAAAGCAAAUAUUCAGAAGUCUUCGGAAAACAUGAGAUGAUAUGUCCAUUAUAAUUGAUACACCAGUAUCCUGUGGAUCUUGCUAAUGGCUCUAAUUGACAGGACCCUCGUGCAUUUUUUGGGAGUGGCAAUUCUCUAAGGCAUGGAGGAGCUUGAAACAUGAGAUGAUAAGUCCAAGUUGUCAAAUUUUGAUUAGAAUCUAUUCGAGUACUUGAAUUAUAUUUGUUUAAAAUCAAAUGCUCUGUAAUUUGAUUAAAUAUAUACCUUUGGCGCUUUUUCUAAUUGUAGCCUUUAUUUUGAUAAUUUUAAUAUUAAGGGGACGUUUGCUAUAAGUUAACAAUGAGAG